UUCGGGAUGCCGGCGAGCGGCGGACGGGUGAGUAAUGCCUAGGAAUCUGCCUGGUAGUGGGGGAUAACUCGGGGAAACUCGAGCUAAUACCGCAUACGUCCUACGGGAGAAAGCGGGGGAUCUUCGGACCUCGCGCUACCAGAUGAGCCUAGGUCGGAUUAGCUAGUUGGUGAGGUAAAGGCUCACCAAGGCGACGAUCCGUAGCUGGUCUGAGAGGAUGAUCAGCCACACUGGAACUGAGACACGGUCCAGACUCCUACGGGAGGCAGCAGUGGGGAAUAUUGGACAAUGGGCGAAAGCCUGAUCCAGCCAUGCCGCGUGUGUGAAGAAGGUCUUCGGAUUGUAAAGCACUUUAAGUUGGGAGGAAGGGCAGUAAGCUAAUACCUUGCUGUUUUGACGUUACCGACAGAAUAAGCACCGGCUAACUUCGUGCCAGCAGCCGCGGUAAU
rnacentral:rRNA from 2 species